rnacentral:rRNA from 1 species
AGAGGGUGAUCGGCCACAUUGGGACUGAGAUACGGCCCAGACUCCUACGGGAGGCAGCAGUUAAGAAUCUUGCGCAAUGGGCGAAAGCCUGACGCAGCGACGCCGCGUGAAUGAUGAAGGCCUUCGGGUUGUAAAGUUCAAUAAGCAGGGAAGAAUAAGUGAGGUCUAAUACGCCUCAUGAUGACGGUACCUGUCUAAAGCCUCGGCUAACUACGUGCCAGCAGCCGCGGUAACACGUAUGAGGCGAGCGUUGUUCGGAAUUAUUGGGCGUAAAGCGCGUGUAGGCGGGGAAUUAAGUUAGGUGUGAAAUCCACGGGCUCAACCCGUGAAUUGCAUCAAAUACUGAUUCUCUUGAGUUCGGGAGAGGAGAGCGGAAUUUCCGGUGUAGCGGUGAAAUGCGUAGAUAUCGGAAAGAACACCAGUGGCGAAGGCGGCUCUCUGGCCUAGAACUGACGCUGAGAUGCGAAAGCGUGGGGAGCGAACGGGAUUAGAUACCCCGGUAGUCCACGCCGUAAACGUUGUAUACUAGGUGUUGGCGGAUUUAUCCGCCAGUGCCGCAGCUAACGCAUUAAGUAUACCGCCUGGGGAGUACACUCGCAAGGGUGAAACUCAAAGAAGUUGACGGGGGCCCGCACAAGCGGUGGAUCAUGUGGUUUAAUUCGAUGAUACGCGAAGAACCUUACCUGGGCUUGAACUGUGCCUGACAGGUGUAGAGAUACACUCUCCUUCGGGCAGGUACAGAGGUGCUGCAUGGUUGUCGUCAGCUCUCGUGAGAUGUUGGGUUAAGUCCCGCAACGAGCGCAACCCUUACCCCUUGUUGCUAACAGGUAACGCUGAGCACUCUAGGGGGACUGCCGGUGAUAAACCGGAGGAAGGUGAGGAUGACGUCAAAUCAUCACGGCCCUUAUGUCCAGGGCUACACACGUGAUACAAUGGUCGGUACAAAGAGAUGCAAUACCGCGAGGUGGAGCAAAUCUCAAAAAACCGAUCUCAGUUCGGAUUGUAGUCUGCAACUCGACUACAUGAAGUUGGAAUCGCUAGUAAUCGCAGAUCAGAACGCUGUGGUGAAUACGUUCCCGGGCCUUGUACACACCGCCCGUCACACCAUCCGAGUCGACAGCACCCAAUGUGGCUGGUCUAACCCGCAAGGGAGGAAGGUCAUUAAGGUGAAGCUGGUAAGGAGGGUGAAGUCGUAACAAGGUA